rnacentral:rRNA from 1 species
CCCUUAGAUGUUCUGGGCCGCACGCGCGCUACACUGAUGCAUUCAACGAGUUUCUUCCUGGUCCGAGAGGAAUGGGUAACCUUUUGAAAGUGCAUCGUGAUAGGGAUAGACUAUUGCAAUUAUUGGUCUUCAACGAGGAAUUCCUAGUAGACGUAGUUCAUCAGACUACAUCGAUUACGUCCCUGCCCUUUGUACACACCGCCCGUCGCUCCUACCGAUUGAAUGCUCAGGUGAGCCAUUCGGACUUUCAUCAUGCUGGUCUCCAGUUUUGAUGAAGGAAAGUCUUGCGAACCUUAUCAUUUAGAGGAAGGAGAAGUCGUAACA